UACGGAAGGGGCAAGCGUUGUUCGGAAUCAUUGGGCGUAAAGGGCGCGCAGGUGGCUCUGUAUGUCUGCCGUGAAAGCAUACAGCUCAACUGUAUUGUGUCGGUAGAAACUGCAGGACUUGAGGCUGGGAGGGGCUGGUGGAAUUCCCUGUGUAGCGGCGAAAUGCGUAGAGAUGGGGGAGAACACUCGUGGCGAAGGCGGCCAGCUAGACCAGUUCUGACACCGAGGCGCGACAGCGUGGGGAGCAAACAGG
rnacentral:rRNA from 1 species